GACGAACGCUGGCGGCGUGCUUAACACAUGCAAGUCGAGCGGUAAGGCCCUUUCGGGGGUACACGAGCGGCGAACGGGUGAGUAACACGUGGGUGACCUGCCCUCAGCUCUGGGAUAAGCCCGGGAAACUGGGUCUAAUACCGGAUAUGACUCCAUGACGCAUGUUGUGGGGUGGAAAGCCUUGUGCGGCUGAGGAUGGGCCCGCGGCCUAUCAGCUUGUUGGUGGGGUGAUGGCUACCAAGGCGACGACGGGUAGCCGGCCUGAGAGGGCGACCGGCCACACUGGGACUGAGACACGGCCCAGACUCCUACGGGAGGCAGCAGUGGGGAAUCUUGCGCAAUGGGCGAAAGCCUGACGCAGCGACGCCGCGUGAGGGAUGACGGCCU
rnacentral:rRNA from 1 species